UUUACAAUGCGGGMAACCGUGAUAAGGGAACCUCGAGUGCCUGUAUAUGCAGGCUGUCCAGGUGUCUAAAACACACCUGAAGAAAGGGCCGGGCAAGACCGGUGCCAGCCGCCGCGGUAAUACCGGCGGCUCGAGUGGUGGCCACUUUUAUUGGGCUUAAAGCGUUCGUAGCUGGGUUGUUAAGUCUCUUGGGAAAUCCGGCAGCUUAACUGUCGGGCGUCUAAGGGAUACUGGUAAUCUUGGAACCGGGAGAGGUGAGGGGUACUUCSGGGGUAGGA
rnacentral:rRNA from 1 species